rnacentral:rRNA from 1 species
UACGGAGGGUGCGAGCGUUGUCCGGAAUCACUGGGCGUAAAGGGCGCGUAGGCGGCGUCGGUAGUCCGUGGUGAAAGCUCGUGGCUCAACUGCGAGUCGGCCAUGGAUACUCCGAUGCUUGAGCACUGUAGAGGCAGGUGGAAUUCCGGGUGUAGCGGUGGAAUGCGUAGAGAUCCGGAAGAACACCGGUGGCGAAGGCGGCCUGCUGGGCAGUAGCUGACGCUGAGGCGCGACAGCGUGGGGAGCAACAGG